UACGAAGGGGGCUAGCGUUGCUCGGAAUCACUGGGCGUAAAGGGCGCGUAGGCGGCCAUUCAAGUCGGGGGUGAAAGCCCAGGGCUCAACCCUGGAAUUGCCUUCGAUACUGUUUGGCUAGAGACCGGAAGAGGUGAGUGGAAUUCCUGGUGUAGCGGUGAAAUGCGCAGAUAUCGGGAGGAACACCAAUGGCGAAGGCAGCUCGCUGGGACGUUACUGACGCUGAGACGCGAAAGCGUGGGGAGCAAACAGG
rnacentral:rRNA from 1 species